UCUGAAUUCUCAAACCUUAAAACUAUGAUACCCUAAUCUUAUACAAUUAAACGUAAACCUGAAAACCCCAAGGGACUAGCUCGGUUGGCAAGGGCCAACACCUCACAAUUAAGAGGCAUGAGUUCAACUCCCCUUGGGGCCUACCUAAAAUAAUUAAAUAAAUAAACCUAAAUCUGACACCUAGGAUGGGUGACCCCUAACAUGAAUUGGUGCCAUGAACCAUGAACUGCCACUGUGAAAAGAUCACGAGAGUUGUCAAGACCUGAAACAGUGAGGGAGAUCCAUUGCCGUUGCCGAUGCACCCACCUUUGCCGAAUUUCUCUGGUGAUAUUGGCAAUUGCUACGCUGCUUGGCUGGUUGUUCGGUGAAGAAGCAAGGAGGACUCAUUCAGAGUGAGAGGAAGGGAGGAAUAUUGAAGAGGAGGGACUCGACUUGAGGUUGAAGGAGGAAUGAAUCAAGAUACAGAAUUACCCCCUCUUAAUUACAGUACACUAAACUAAAGACGAGGGAUAGAUCUUGUGUUGUGAGAUCUUGGAAAAACACAUACUGUUGUGAACCCGCAUUUUGCCUUCUUUUUUUAAUCAAACAUUACCAAUCUUUCCAAGUUAUCAGAAUGUUUCGGUUGAUGUAAUAGCAGUGCUGCAGAAUAUCAGUGGAUGGUGGAAAAUGAAAUUUAAAUUGUUUUACUUC